GUGCCUAAUACAUGCAAGUCGAGCGGACAGAUGGGAGCUUGCUCCCUGAAGUCAGCGGCGGACGGGUGAGUAACACGUGGGCAACCUGCCUGUAAGACUGGGAUAACUCCGGGAAACCGGGGCUAAUACCGGAUAAUUCUUUCCCUCACAUGAGGGAAAGCUGAAAGAUGGUUUCGGCUAUCACUUACAGAUGGGCCCGCGGCGCAUUAGCUAGUUGGUGAGGUAACGGCUCACCAAGGCAACGAUGCGUAGCCGACCUGAGAGGGUGAUCGGCCACACUGGGACUGAGACACGGCCCAGACUCCUACGGGAGGCAGCAGUAGGGAAUCUUCCGCAAUGGACGAAAGUCUGACGGAGCAACGCCGCGUGAGUGAUGAAGGUUUUCGGAUCGUAAAACUCUGUUGUUAGGGAAGAACAAGUACCGGAGUAACUGCCGGUACCUUGACGGUACCUAACCAGAAAGCCACGGCUAACUACGUGCCAGCAGCCGCGGUAAUACGUAGGUGGCAAGCGUUGUCCGGAAUUAUUGGGCGUAAAGCGCGCGCAGGCGGUUCCUUAAGUCUGAUGUGAAAGCCCCCGGCUCAACCGGGGAGGGUCAUUGGAAACUGGGGAACUUGAGUGCAGAAGAGAAGAGUGGAAUUCCACGUGUAGCGGUGAAAUGCGUAGAGAUGUGGAGGAACACCAGUGGCGAAAGGCGAC
rnacentral:rRNA from 2 species